AUGGAAGUACCCCAAACAUUUGGUUCCAUCAGCCAGUAUCCCUCAGGACUGCACUCUGAGUGUGCAAGCCACUACUGGGCUGUCAGUUCAGGAUCACCACCAAGGAAAUUAAUCUGUGCUUCUUAAUAUGACCAUUGACUCUACAAGAUUGUGCAGACUUACCUCAAAUACAGGCACUGAAACAAAUACCCAUUUAAGAUCCUAGAGGACCACAACCCUUAACAUCUAUCAUUUCUGUGACAGGAAUUUUGGAGAGAAGGCUCAGAUAGCACGAAACAAGAGCAACAAGAGCAACAAGAAAUUGCUCACAUCUGUUCUGCAAGCAUCCUGUAAAGCACUAGAAGUUGUUGGUAGCAAGUGCCUUGCUGACUGCUGGCUGCAGGACUCUGAGCUCUGCCUCUGUGCAACCUGGCUGUUCUCAGAGUAGUUGCUUGGGUUUUUCAUCUGGGUUUUUUAAUUUUCUUGGGAUGGUUCUCUAAGACAAUUUCUUUUAGCUACUCUAAUCUCUAAAAUAGUCUGAAAAACAGUAGCCAAAGGCAGUGUAAAGAAGACAGCACAAGCACAGUGU
rnacentral:lncRNA from 1 species